UACGGAGGGGGCGAGUGUUGUUCGGAAUUACUGGGCGUAAAGGGCGCGUAGGCGGCACCGCAAGUCGACUGUGAAACUCUCCGGGCUUAACCCGGAAAGGUCAGCCGAUACUGCGGGGCUAGAGUGGCAGAAGGGGCAACUGGAAUUCCUGGUGUAGCGGUGAAAUGCGCAGAUAGUCAGGAAGAACACCUAUGGCGAAGGCAGCACUCUGGGACGGUACUGACGCUGAGACGCGAAAGCGUGGGGAGCGAACAGG
rnacentral:rRNA from 1 species